CAGCAGUAGCCGCGGUAAUACGAAGGGUGCAAGCGUUAAUCGGAAUUACUGGGCGUAAAGCGUGCGCAGGCGGUGUUGUAAGACUGAUGUGAAAUCCCCGGGCUCAACCUGGGAACUGCAUUGGUGACUGCAACGCUGGAGUGCGGCAGAGGGGGAUGGAAUUCCGCGUGUAGCAGUGAAAUGCGUAGAUAUGCGGAGGAACACCGAUGGCGAAGGCAAUCCCCUGGGCCUGCACUGACGCUCAUGCACGAAAGCGUGGGGAGCAAACAGGAUUAGAUACCCGCGUAGUCCCUGUCUCUUAUAC
rnacentral:rRNA from 1 species